ACAACAGAAGUUUCAGGUGAACUCAUUAAGCUUACCAGCCAGUGUUUAUAGAGCGACUGGUUUUUAGAGGAUGGGGUUGGAAAUGAAAGGAAGAAUGUAAGCAUUGGCUCCGCCCCUAUUCUAAUGGCUGCAGGACGCCACUGAGCAUGUGGCCACUGACCUCCCAGUGCAGGUCACCCGGCUUUGGAGCUUGUUCAUGACUCAGAGUAUCCGUGAGGCUGUUACCAAGAAGAUGUGAGGUCCGGGCUUUAAUUUUCUCAUCUUCUCCAAUGCAGGGCCUGGGUAGUGUCCUGGAGGUGGGAGAUAGUACGAGCUGUGCUCAGCUUGCAGUGGGAAAUGCUCACCACUUGAUGAGCAUUCAGACUGAAAUCCGGGACACAUUUUUUAAAUUCUUGUAUUUUAGUAAAACUCGUUCUCAGGCUCCGUAGGACCAGAGUGUGGCCUUGUCAGUUGUAAUCUCAGAGACUCUUUGGAAAGGUGGUUUUGAGAUCAGUGCAGACCCCCGAUGUUCUGACGGCACGAAUGAAGCUGACAUUACUCUCUUCCAGCCGGUGUCAUAGAUGAAGAUUAUAGAGGAAAUGUCGGCGUCGUGCUGUUCAAUUUUGGAAAAGAGAAGUUCGAGGUGAAAAAAGGUGACCGGAUCGCGCAGCUCAUUUGUGAGCGGAUUCUUUAUCCAGACUUAGAGGAGGUGCAAACACUGGAUAACACUGAGAGAGGCUCAGGAGGCUUCGGCUCCACGGGAAAGAAUUAAAACUUUGCUUGAAGUACUUUGCUGUUUGAACACUGUAAACGAGCUUUAAUUUCAGAAGCAUUUUGUGUUCUAGGAUGUAGGAAAGGAUACCUAUCACGGUGGAACUGCUCUGUUCUCUAGUUGAUGGUUGCCUGUAAAUCUGUAUCGUGAGAAUGGCAUUGACAUGCAGACUUGGUUAUUAGAUAUUUUUUUUAAAUUUGGUGUUGUAUUUAAAUUAUAGUCCUAUAAGAACUGAUUUUGCUCUAAUUGCUAUAUUAUUUGUAAUUUUUUUUUUUUUAUCCAAUAAAGUCCGAAGUCUUUAGCAGAUGAUUUUUACAUAAGCUGACUGAAGAACUACAAAGAGGUCCAGUGUGGCUCAGGGCUGUAACAGCACUUGGAGGCUGAGUCAAGAGGAUUGCUGUGAGUUAGGCUAGCCUGGGCUACUAUGAGAUGCUAAGGAAGGGGGCGGUGUGAAAAGAGUCUCUGUUCCUUUCUGCACUGGUGCUGUGUGACACUGGGACUUUAAACUUUAAAGGUCUACUCACCCCAGAUUUUGAACCCACAAAAGUACAACUUGGUGAACUGGCGAGGUUAUCGUUCUGUAGGAGUGGGGCUGCAAACAGGAGCAGAAAUGACUCAGAGGUGUCACUGAAAGUUCAUUCACCCAGCAUGGUGACUCCUGGUAAAGCCAUAAACCGUACAGCCUGAAAGCAGUUCUGUGGGUCUUAAGUGGCCCAAGUUUCUCGUGUGGGUAAUGGUGGAGGGCUUCUUUCCUGCAGUUCCCUCACAGUCCUACUGUCUGUGAAUAGAAAUCUUAAAGGCCAAACCAGUGUUGGUAUUGACAGAUUUAGGAGUGUCUGCAGAUAAAAUUGCAAGGCACGUGACCCUUCAAACAAUGUUAAUGCUGUAAUCUGUGGCCAGACAUUUCGGCCAUUUUCUGCUGUGUAAACGAAUUACACCCACACCCACCCCAGGUAAUUGACCUGAUCAUUUUAGCUGAGAAAUGCACUCUGUCAUCCUAAAAAGAAAGAGGUUGGGGUGAGUAUCUUCCCUAAACAGAAAAUAAAAUAUCUUUGUGCUCCACA
rnacentral:lncRNA from 1 species